ACGAAUUAUGUCCCUCUCCCACACUUUUGAGGAAACCAGUGCAGUAAACAAGCAAUACGUAAGGUGCUCUAUAGAUAAACUAGUCAAAGUGAGGACUUCAACUCCGUUUCUGAGACUUGAACGUGAAAUCUCAAAGUAUACAAUAUGUUCGGUGGUACUUGAAAGAGUGUCAACUUGACGUAUUAAACUAAGCAUCUGACGGAUCAUUCAUGUGGAGAUGUAUGGUAAUUAUAGAAAGAGGAAACACAUGCAAACUAUGGAGAUCUAAAGUGAAUGUAUGUUACGGAGUAAAUCCUAGUACAUAUGAACCCUAGAAGAUACACACUACGUUAGAAAACUGGAGUAAACAGAAACGUCUAACAUCAAACACUUUUAAACUUUAUCGUAGGUAGUGGUUUGAUAUGAGAAAUGUGUCAUACACCUACUGACAGUUGGAUUAAGCUAUUUAUCUUCAAGAUGCAAUGUUAAUUAAGCUAUAUUUGUACCUAUAUAUACUUUUUGUUUUAUAUGUUUAUAUUAGUUUUUAAUGUUUUUAAUAGUGUGACACUCCUUCCUAUGGUAUUUUUUAAAAUAUAUCCAAACAUGUUCAAUAAAAGAUACAUACAGAAAUACUGGCGAAUUAAAGAGCCGCUUUGAUUAAUUUUGCUCGUGCUGCCACUUAUUAAUAUAUUAAGUAAAAUAUUUUCUGUAAUGACGAGAGAACAUACCUGAUGUGAUAAUUUAAAGAGCCGGCUUGAUUAAUUUUGAGGCAAGUCCUCAUCUUGCCGGUUACAUGUAUUAUAAAUAAAAAUUCUACUAACUGUUCAUCAUACACUAACAAUCGUUUGACCAUCCUCUCUCGUAAUAAAAUGCAGCGAGGAACUAGAGAAACCAACAAAUUGAUCGACCACCUGAUGAGGGUUUAGCCGGGUGGUUGCUGAAGACAGCAGCCAAGCAGGGAAGUAGAUACUGAGUCAAAAAUUAUAACUACAGAAACACACGUCCUGGACCCUAGCAGCAUAAAAAUUCUACUACAUGAAGAAGAUGCUAUUGUCUGGUACACGAGAGGUACAUUGGAAGAAUAAGCGGAAUUAAAUAAAAUUAAUGAAUUAUAUAUAUUAUUAGGGCAAUAAACGUUAUUAUUUUUA
rnacentral:lncRNA from 1 species